UUUUUUUUUUUUUUUUUAAUGCCACCUGCGGCAUGCAGAAGUUCUGGGGGCAAGGAUCAAACCUGCACCACAGCAGUGACAAUGCUAGGACCAGGGAACUCCCACCUCCUUCCCUCUUUGAUUGCCCAGUGGUUAGACUGGGUGUUACUGGAAGCUGAGGACAGGAGGAAGACAAGGAGAAAAGCAGAGGCGAGUGGGGAACAAGAACUAUGGGGUGGGGUCCUUCCCACUCCGCCAGUGGCUCCCUGAGGGCCCUCCAACUCAGGUUCCCAAGUGGACCAGCCUGCCCACAUCCCUGGUAAAGGAUGGUCACCCUGACACUAGAGCACAGCUGGUCUUUAGCACCCCCUGGAACAGAGUGCCUACACAGGUCGCUUCACACGGCGUACUGAUGACACUGUAAUACCAUGUGUUUUCGUGCCUGCCUUUCUCACCCCAAGGCCUCUCCUUUUUUUCUAGGACCCAGCUCCUCCCAGGUGGGCAGGAAAUAUUAGUGAAUAAAUCACUUCACAAAUGCCUAACCAAGCUCUGGGACAUGCCACCUUUGCUACCACAUCUGAACUUAAUACAACCACUACCAGGAGAAAUAAGAACACAUGCCCUGCUCCAUAUAAGAUCCCAGCAAAUGGAGAAGAAGUGGUACAUAUAUACAAUGGACUACUACUCGGCUAUAAAAACGAACAAAAUAAUGCCAUUGGCAGCAACAUGGAUGGAACCUGAGAUUCUCAUACUAAGUGAAGUAAGUCAGAAAGAAAAAGACAAAUACCAUAUGAUAUCACUUAGAUGUGGAAUCUAAAAUAUGGCACAAAUGAACCUAUUGACAAAACAGAAGCAGACUCACAGCCUUAGAACACUUUUGUGGCUGCCAAGGGGGAGGGAGUGGGAGAGACUGGGAGCUUGGGGUUAUUAGAUGCAAACAACUGCAUUUAGAAUGGAUGGGCAAUGAGGUCCUACUGUACAGCACAGGGAACUAUAUCGAAUCUCUUGAGACAGACUAUGAUGGAAGAGAAUAUAAGAAAAGAAUGUAUAUAUAUAUAUAUAUAUGUAUGACUGGGUCGCUUUGCUGUACAGCAGAAAUUGGCACAACAUUGUAAAUCAACUAUACUUUAACCUAAAAAAAUAAGGAAAAAAACACAAAAAAACCCACAGCAGACAGGGAGGAAGUAAGCCCAAUGCAUUUGACAGUAAUUGUCCGGCUCUAGGAGACCCACGACUGCAGUCUCCUGAAGUCAGGUGUUUCAUAACUUUGCUCUGGCACCUGAAAGGAGGGUAAUCUAGUGAUCCUGGCAUUUUGCUACCCAAAGUGUGGUGUCUAGUCUGGCAGCAUCAAGCAUCACAUGGGGGGUUGUUGGAAGUGCGGGAUCUCAGACCCCACCCAGACCUGCUGAAUCAGAGUCUGCAUGUGACAAGAACACAGAUGCAGGAUUGAGUGGUAAGGCCUUCGAAUAUAUAGAGAGAAAGGCUGAGGAGUGGGGAGACCAGUGAGGUGAUGAAGAGUACCUUGGAGGACAGGUGUUCACUGCAUCUAGUAAUAUCUUAACUCAUUAUUAUUCAACAGUCAAAGAAGAUCAGAGACCCAGAGUACUACAUGUGACAUCUGAUGCCAACACCAGCCUGCCUGAUCCUAGUAUGGCCUGCAUGAGAUCUUUCUCAUACAAAGAUUCACAAGGGAACUAGAAGGCCAGCGGGACAUACCCACCAGCCACUUGCCCACCAAAGGCUUGGCCACUUCCUCUUGUCCCUAGGAGGCCUAUCUUGACAACCCCAACCCCCCUUUACCUCCCCUCCUCAGGAGAAAUUGACUAUUUCCUACUUUAUUCCCAGCACAAAGUAGACACUCAAUAAUUGUGUGCCAAAUAAUGAAAGUGUUGUGCUAGCAGGCUUGGAUCAAUUAGUGAUUGUAAUUGAGGCUGAAUGUAAUUAAUUAUAUAAUUUGGGGCUGUUCAAGUUUAAUUCUACUGAAAUUGCAUCAUGAGAACAGGGCAUGAGGAAGGAUUACAGACAAGGAGAGGAGCUAAGCUUCCGCAAACAAUAGGUGCACAACGAUAAACAUUAAAAGGGCUGAGUAACUAGGGCAUUCUGAUCCUGAAUCCCAUCUGGACAAAAAUUAAGGUCCAAAAUCAAAGACUGUACCCCCUUACCAGGGUUAUGCAGCAGUGGGCACUCUCAGCAGCAGACUCUGCUCAGUGUGGGGACAUUAAUCCUUGCCUUGAUCCACUUCUACUGUGGCACGUUUGUGUUAUUCAUGCCCCGUAAGUCUCCUCUCGGUGCUCACACUCAGAGAGUUCCAGAGCUAAAAAGGCUCUUGGGGGAUCGUUAGACCAGUGAGUUUUAGCCCAACUGGACCUAACAUACACGUUUCUUAACAGCAAAUAUUUUGUAAUGCCCCAACCAUCCCGAAACAAAAUCCAUAGAUUUCAUUUGUCUACCUACACAUAUGUGUGUGUGUGUGUGUGUGUGUGUGUGUGUGUGUGUGUGUGUGUGUGUGUAUGCAAUAUACCUGCAUGAUUUUUAAGCAGACUGAUGCAGAUGGGUUACACUGGCUCUUCAAACGCAGGCUCUGCACUGCCAUCAGUUAUGUGAUUUCCCAUAGGAAUAAGCAAUAAUUCCUAAAGAAAUCAUCCCUCAACUCUCAUGGUAAUUCCAUUCCUGGAAAAUUCAACAAAAAUUUAAAAUUCAACAUGAGGGAUUCCUGUCAUGGCUUAGCGGAAAUGAAUGUGACUAGUAUCCAUGAGGACGCAGGUUCAAACCCUGGCCUCGCUCAGUGGGUUAAGGAUCCUGUGUUGCCAUGAGCUGUGGUGUAGGUCGCAGACAUGUCCCCAGAUCUGGCAUUGCUGUGGCUGUGGCUGUGGCUGUGGCUGUAGCCGGCAGCUACAGCUCUGAUUCAACUCCUAG
rnacentral:lncRNA from 1 species